ACAGAGGGCCCGAGCGUUAGUCGGAGUUACUGGGCGUAAAGGGCGUGCAGGCGGUUGGCUAAGUUCGUUGAGAAAGCGCCCAGGCUUAACCGGGCGAGGACAAUGAAGACUGGUCAGCUAGAGGACGGUAGAGGGGUGUGGAAUUCCGGGUGUAGUGGUGAAAUGCGUAGAGAUCCGGAGGAACACCAGAGGCGAAGGCGACACCCUGGGCCGUACCUGACGCUAAGACGCGACAGCACGGGGAGCGAACGG
rnacentral:rRNA from 1 species